rnacentral:rRNA from 1 species
UACAGAGGUCCCAAGCGUUGUUCGGAUUCACUGGGCGUAAAGGGCGCGUAGGUGGUUGGGCAAGUCUGAUGUGAAAUCUCCGGGCUUAACCCGGAAAUGGCAUUGGAAACUGCUUGGCUAGAGUGUUGGAGGGGGGACUGGAAUUCUCGGUGUAGCAGUGAAAUGCGUAGAUAUCGAGAGGAACACCAGUGGCGAAGGCGAGUCCCUGGACAACUACUGACACUGAGGCACGAAAGCGUGGGUAGCAAACAGG